ensembl:lncRNA
CACUGGUGUGCGGGCAGUGGGAAGCACGCUCUGGGCUGAUGGCAAAGGCUGCCUCUGCAAUGUGGGUGACUUCACUUGAGAAUGGAUCGCAUCCUCCUGCUUAACUGGGUCCCCUCUGGCAUCAUGGCACCAACGUCCAGUGUCCUGGGACAGCAGAUGUUGUCCUCAGAUUCUCCCGGUAAGUCCUACAGCUCUGUGGUCUCAUCAUAGCCUGUUCACAUCAACACAUGAUGGACAAUGCAGUCACCCUUCCACCCUCCUCCCAUCACUGACAGGCCAAGGAGCCCCUCUUGGAUACAAGCUGCUUUCAGUUAUGUGAUAUGAACAGCCACACUGAGGAGCUCUAUGUGGUGAAAAUGAAGCAUUCACCGAUCACUGACUUCACCGUGGUGGAAUUGCUCUUGUGCUUGAAAUGGAGCUUUCCUUUGCGAC